UGAGUACUGGUUUCAAGUUGGUGGUAAGAUACUUCUUCAUUAAAAAUUCUAGCACCAUUUGAAAUCAGUGCUUC
rfam:Zootermopsis nevadensis contig5191, whole genome shotgun sequence.